CCUACGGGGGACAGCAGUAGGGAAUCUUCCACAAUGGACGAAAGUCUGAUGGAGCAACGCCGCGUGUGUGAUGAAGGGUUUCGGCUCGUAAAACACUGUUGUAAGAGAAGAAUGACAUUGAGAGUAACUGUUCAGUGUGUGACGGUAUCUUACCAGAAAGGAACGGCUAAAUACGUGCCAGCAGCCGCGGUAAUACGUAUGUUCCAAGCGUUAUCCAUAUUUAUUUGGCGUAAAGCGAGCGCAGACGGUUAUUUAAGUACGAAGGCAAAGCCCAUAGCUUAAAUAUGGAAGUUCGUUGGAAACUGGGGAACUUGAUUGCAGUAAAGGAGAGGGGAACUCCAUGUGUAGCGGUGAAAUGCGUAGAUAUAUUGAAGAACACCAGUGCCGAAGGCGGAUCUUUGGACUGUAACUUACGUUGAGGCUCGAAAGUGUGGGUAGCAAACAGGAUUAGAUACCCGAGUAGUC
rnacentral:rRNA from 1 species